GCCAUCGCGGCUGCUGAUGACGAUUGCAAGCCUGCCGAUGACGAGUCAACGUCGUGGAAGCGCCUCGUGGACGGUAUGCGCCCGCUCCGCCUCCGCGGGCAGCUGGAGUACUACCCGCCGCCACCGCCGCCACCGCCGCUGGGCCACGCCGAUGUGUACCAUGACGUGAUCCUCCCGCCGCCGUCGCAGGCACGGUUCGGCUUCGAGAUCAAGGAGGUGGGCAUGACCAGCCGCUACGCGUCCGCUGAGGAUCUGCACCAGAUGGACAGCGACCAGGAAGAGGGUGCUGAGGGUGGCGAUGACGGUGACAGCAGUUGCCCACACGC
rnacentral:lncRNA from 1 species